UGCGUAGGUGGUUAGGUAAGACCUGUGGGAAAGACCUGGGCUUAACCCAGGAAGGUCGCAGGUGACUGCCUGGCUAGAGGGCGGGAGGGGAGCGCGGAAUUCCCGGUGUAGCGGUGAAAUGCGUAGAGAUCGGGAGGAAGGCCGGUGGCGAAGGCGGCGCUCUGGAACGUUCCUGACACUGAGGCACGAAAGCGUGGGGAGCAAACAGGAUUAGAUACCCUGGUAGUCCACGCCCUAAACGAUGGGUACUAAGUGUCGGCGGGUUACCGCCGGUGCCGCACCUAACGGAGUAAGUACCCCGCCUGGGGAGUACGGCCGCAAGGUUGAA
rnacentral:rRNA from 1 species